GAUGAACGCUAGCUACAGGCUUAACACAUGCAAGUCGUGGGGCAUCAUGAUGUAGUAAUACAUUGAUGGCGACCGGCGCACGGGUGAGUAACGCGUAUCCAACCUACCCUCCACUCAAGUAUAGGCUUCCGAAAGGGAGAUUAAUCCUUGAUAUCGUCAUUCUCUCUCCUGUUAGAAUGAUAAAAGGACAUCGUUUCGGUAGAGGAUGGGGAUGCGUUCCAUUAGGUAGUAGGUGGUUUAACAGGCCACCUAGCCGAUGAUGGAUAGGGGUUCUGAGAGGAAUAUCCCCCACACUGGUACUGAGAUACGGACCAGACUCCUACGGGAGGCAGCAGUGAGGAAUAUUGGUCAAUGGGCGCAAGCCUGAACCAGCCAUGUAGCGUGAAGGAUGACGGUUUUUUUGAUUGUAAACUUCUUUUCUGUGCGAUUAAAGUGUGGCAUUUAUGCCAUAUUGCAGUAUCUCAGGAAUAAGC
rnacentral:rRNA from 1 species